ensembl:lincRNA
AGCCUUUAUAGCAAGUUCUCUUCACCCAGGACUGGCCCAGGCCCUAGCACUGGCAUGAACUGUUGUGUUCAUGACGUGUAAGCACCCUGACUUCCAUCUGCAUUGAGCACAGGCCCCAGCAGUGCAUGGCGACCGCUCGGGGGUCGCGUAACUAGUUAGCAUGCCAGAGUCUCGUUCGUUAUCGGAAUUAACCAGACAAAUCGCUCCACCAACUAAGAACGGCCAUGCACCACCACCCACGGAAUCGAGAAAGAGCUAUCAAUCUGUCAAUUCCUUUAAGUUUCAGCUUUGCAACCAUACUCCCCCCGGAACCCAAAGACUUUGGUUUCCCGGAAGCUGCCCGGCGGGUCAUGGGAAUAACGCCGCCGCAUCGCCAGUCGGCAUCCAAGGUGAAGGGGCAUCUGAUGCACAGAAGUGAAGCUGCUCCUGGGAGCGAGGCGGGAAUAGCCACACUUUCUGCUUCGACGAGCAGGCGCUGCACCAAGCAGUGCAAACGACAACAUUGUACAGUUCAAAUGAGGAGCCUGGGGCCCCAAGAACUUACAGGUCCUGCUCAGAGUCACAGAACUGAUGGCCUCAGACUCAAGUCACGUAUUAGCUAGGUGACCUUGGACAAGUUCUUGUCUCCAGGCCUCUCUUCCCUCACUUACAGAAUGAAAUUAAUAUUGUUGUUCAGUUGCUAAGUUGUAUGUGACUCUCUGUGACCUCAUGAACUGCAGUACACCAGGCUUCCCUGGCCUCCACUGUCUCCUGGAGUUUGCUCAAACUCAUGUCCAUUGAGUUGGUGAUGCUAUCUAACCUUCUCAUUCUCUACUUCUCCCUUCUCCUUUUGCCACCAGUCUUUCCAACCCAGGGUCUUUUCCAAUGAAUUGGCUCUUUGCAUCAGGGGACCAGAGUAUUGCAGCUUCAGCUUCAGCAUCAGUCUUUCCAAUGAGUAUUCAGGGUUGAUUUCCUUUAGGAUGGACUGGUUUGAUCUCUUUGCAGUCCAAGGGAUUCUCAAGAGUCUUCUCCAGCACCACCGUUCAAAAGCAUCAAUUCUUCGGCACUCAGCCUUCUUUAUGGUCCAACUCUCCCAUCGUACAUGACUACUGGAAGACCAUAGCUUUGACUGGACAGACCUUUGUUAGCAAAGUGAUGUCUGCUUUUUAAUAUGCUUUCUAGAUUUGUCAUAGCUUUCCUUUCAAAGAGCAAGUGUCUUUUAAUUUCAUGGCUGCAGUCACCAUCCUCAGUGAUUUUGGAGUCCAAGAUAAAUCUAAUUAAUAUGCCUUUGCAAAGAUUCAAUGAUACAGUGUAACAAUGAAAAGAAAUGCAGUGUAUAAAGUGCUUAUAACAUAAAAGGCACGGUCACUGAUGGCUGACCUUAUACUACUAAUAAUUACUCCCUUUAUUCCAUGCUUCUGUGAGGGGCAGUUGGGGAAGGAGGCAUUAUAGGAGUACUAUGAGAUAUAAUCCUCCGAUUGGGACUUCCCUGGUGGUUCAAUGGUUAAGACUCUGUGCUUUCAAUGCAGGGGCAUGGGUUUAAUCCCUGAUCGGGAAUCAAGAUCCCGUAGAUUGUUUGGCCUGGCCAAAAAAUCCCG